ACUGUGUAGCAAGAACUCGUCCAAACAGUCAGACAGCUGUCAGUCGUAGAUCAGGAUGAAGGGGUUGCUGCAGCGACAGUGACUUCUUUUCGGCCCUAAAGCCAUUCCUCCUCUGGUCGCUCACGCUCAAACACAUGUCCUGACCA